rnacentral:lncRNA from 1 species
UGCAAUGUCAUGAAUGUGUAGAAUAUUUUCUUUGUUCAUAUAUUUAAAGCUAUUGGAUCAUAUAACAACGAAUUUUAAACAUGCCAAAAAAUCAAACAAAUGUGAAAUUGUCAUUUCUUGUACAUAUAAAUUAUUGAUUUUUAAUACAUUUAUUACUUUAAAUGGAAUAUUGCCAACACAAUGAACUGAAACCUGAAGAUUACUUAUUUCAAGCCUCACUACUGAUGGUAGGGGACAUUAUGUUUUAUGAGUCAUUUCAUUAGUAACUAAAAAACAAGGUCUUAUAUACAAUAAGUAAACAUUGGAAUAAAUACUGUUUUUUGAAUAUUAAUUCUACAAAAAUCAAUAAAUCUGUUCUUUAUAAAAAAAAAAAAGGUCCAGCAAUAUGAUGAUAUAUUUUGUUUAUCUGUUUUUAGAAUCAGAGCAGUUUAGCUGAUACGUUCAGUACCCUACUUUUUUAAUUUGUUUUGAAUAUUAAAAACCACUGUGAUUGAUGAUAAUCUAAUAAUUUAAUAAUUAUAUGCUGUUUUGUGUUUUUUUUUGUUACACUUACUUUGUACACAUGCCAUGGGAAGGCACUUUCAAAAUGGGGUAUAAAUCACCAUUAGAGGUGAAUUUAGAGUUUCACUCAUAUUUUCACUGUACCAUGAUGUACACCCACAAAGAAAUUACAGAAAGCUAAUGAAAUAUAUUAAGCCCUAGUCCCACUAAACCACGAUCGCACCACACUCACCGCGAUCUAAAAUAAGUUCAGAUCGUGGUGAGGUCGCGGUAUGAGUGGCAUGAAAAUGUAAAUUUUCGCUGCUUUCACGAUAAUACUACGUCCUCAUUACGCUUCUACAACAAUCCCGCUAUGAAUAUACCACGUUCUCACUGCGCUUAUCAAGAUCUUUCUAUGCUCAUCACGUUCUCACUACAACCAUACCACGAGUUAUCCGAUUGCAACACGAUCUUACCACGCUUCUACUGCAAUUAUAGCACGUUCUUACCACGAUUAUACUACAUUCAUACCGCAAUCUUACUACGUUCCAAACAAUAAUAUCAAUAUCGUGUUCCAUAUCAAAACAGUUCCAGUACUUCAUGUCUGAUUAAUACGUAGAUUUCUCGGAAGCAAUACAGUCAUGCCACCCAAAUUUACUUGAACAUGUGGGCGUGGUGCUAUAGAGGUUGAUGAAGAGGCAGAGGGAGUAAAGUAACAAACUUGAUCAAUUCAACCUAAAUUAAACCUAUUGCUGGUCCAUAAAGCUCAAAUGACAUUAUUUUAGUGAACAAUAGCAGAGAUGACACAGACGUAUCAAUUGCUAUUGGAAGAUGUGGUAUGACUGCCAAUGAGACAUACUCUCCAUCCAAGUAACAAUUUAUAAAAGUAAACCAUUAUAGGCCAAUUACGGCCUUCAACACGGAGCCUUGGCUCACAUCGCACAGGAAGCUAUAAAGGGCCCAAAAAAUUACUAGUUUAAAACCAUCUAAACGGGAAAACCAACAGUCUAAUCUAUAUAAAAACGAGAAGCAUGGUUGAGCCGUUAGAGCAAAUGGAUAAUUACAUACAGACUAACAAAAUGUAGGGAGCUUUUUUAUAUAUUUUUUUGUGAAAAAGACAAUGAGAAUGAUGGUCGUAGUAUGGACAUAGUUAUGUGGUAAGAAAAGCGUGAUGAGGACGGCAUGGGCGCCCUAGAAUCGUACUAUGGUCCCAAACAGCGUCGUAGUCGUAGUGGAAGCUUUGUUGGGUCGUAGUGAGGUCUCUGAGAGAUCGUAACGUAGUCCCUCUGAAUAGAAUCAUGCUCUCGCUACGAUGGUACAGCAACCUUUACUACGAUCUUAGUACGCUUCUACUAUGACCUGCUUUCAGCACGAUCGCACCACGAUUGUUUUGAACAUGUUCAAAGUAGGCCAAGCUCAUCACGAUCUUGAAGACCUAACCAUGACUGUGAUACGACCUUACUGCAAACUAUACAAUUUUACUACGAUCAUCAAAAUUUGUAUUUUUUUCACAGAUCAUAGUGUGAUCGUUGCCUAGUGGGACUUCAGUAUUAACUACCAUGAUGAAAAAAGUAACAUAUUUCUAUGAUAAGAACACUAAAGUUUUUGUUUAAGGUGGCUCAGGCCUAUUCGAAGUUUCUGUCAGAAGUGCCGUAUUUUUUGUUAUUUUAAACUUUACAGAGAGUGAAUCAAAUUGUUUGAAAAAAAUAGGGUGUCAUUUAAGCUCAAAAUAUUACUUUUAAAGAGGUAUGUAAAAGGGACUGUUUUUCAAUGAAAUGAUGGGGAAAACAGAGAUGUUGACAUAUUUUUAUCAGAUUAUCAAAAAAAACCGUUCUGUGACACUUCAUCAAAAACUGUAAUAUAAAAAGCUGAAAUAUAGCUUCAAAGAAUGAGCAAAUAAAAAACAUAGGUCACCUAUAAGCAAAAAAAAUAUAUUUUGCCUUAAAACCAAAAUUUUGGCAGGAAAAUGGUGAAAUUUAGUGAAAUGUCAUUUUGAGCCUUUCACAGAUACACAUAAUAAUGAUAAAAGUACAGUGAUUUAACAUUUUUAAUCAAUCAAAAUAUUUAACAAAAAAAAAAUGAAUUUAAGACACAAACUUUUCGUGUGCAUGGUAAUUCAUGCGUGAAAUUACAUGCGCAGUCGAAUAGUCCCGAUCCACCUUAAUGUGUAUGGAGAUUUUCUUAUUGAGUAUUUGUACUAGUAUUUGUUCUUUUAAAUGUUGAAAGAUGAUUAAUCUUGAAUCUAAAGAAUGAUUUGCUUUCUAAGUUAUUCUUUGUUUAUAUUGUGUCAGAUUUGAUACAGGUCAUAUUGAUCUCACUGAUAAUUUUGAUCUGUUUUAUGAGUUGUUGAUAUUUAAUUGUACAUAAUUUGAAUGUCUGUAACAAAAUGUAUAUCUGUAAUUAUAUGUUUAUAGUUUUGUAAGAAGAAAAUAAUACAAACUUCUUAGUUAGAUUGACACCUGUCCUAAUUUGCUGUCUGUCUUAGAUUGACACCUGUCCUAAUUUGCUGUCUGUCUUAGAUUGACACCUGUCCUAAUUUGCUGUCUGUCUUAGAUUGACACCUGUCCUAAUUUGCUGUCUGUCAGUGUAUGAAGACUUUUGAGAGUUCAUUGACAUGCACAUUUGUUACUUGAUACUUAUACUUCAGCAUUCAGCAAUCCUCAGUAGAAUCCGCUACUCUUCUAUCCCUCGGCUGUAAUUCAGUAUGUGAUAUGUGUCUACGCCUUACAUUUCUUCGCCGGAAGCUGAAUGAUUUACUGCUAGUGCUUAUAUUUUUAAUACUUUAUUCCCCUCCUUUACAGGAGAUCAGUAAUGGAAACCUACGUAUUACGGACGAAGUUAGAUGAGGUACGGAAACAGCCGAGUUAAGACCAAUGAUACUUUAGAAAAGACUAGGAAAAUUAUUUUAAUGCACAAUGGUAGCCAUUUUUAUCAAACCCCUCUUUUGAUACAAUCCUAUUUCACAAAAGUAUAUGGGUGUUAAUCAAAAAAACUUUUUUUAAGUAUAAUUUGCAUAAAUUGUGUUUUAUACUAAGAUUUGAUUAAUGUGACAAGAAUGGCAAGAUUUGUUUUCAGUUGUAGAAAAGACAACGGAAAUUUUGUUAUCUUAAUUUAUUGCUCAAUGGUAAAAUCUGAAUGGCAUGAACUAAGUAGAUAGUAUUGUAUAAUUGCCAUGGACUUAAAGUAGACAGUAUUGUAUAAAUGGUUGGACUAGGUAGACAGAAUGGUACAAAGUAUUGACUAAGUAGAAAGUAUUGUAUAAUUGGUUAUGGUUUUUAUAGUAGUUUUUGUAAAUCUUUGUCAUAUUGACAUGUACUUAGAAUGUGAAUGGAAUCCUAUGUAUUUAUAUAUUGUAUUUUGGAGUGGAAGAGUGAUGUCAUUUAUUAGUGUGCUGUAGCUGAUCUACAUGUGUUGUGCAGAAUUACAUGGUGUUCUGACUUAUAAAACAUUAUAGUUUUAAUUCCAAUUAAAUAUACAUUUCUGUUAAUUAAGCAUUCCAGUAUCUCUUAAAUCUAUAAUUACAAAGUACAAAUCUAAAAAAAGUAUAUAAAUUAAAUGAAUUGUUUUUAACUUUGAAGUAAUCCUCCAAGAUCAAAUUAUGAAAAUAGCAGUAAUAAUGUCAGAAAGUUAGGCUUCUUUGAACUAGUAAAACUUGGAGAAAAAAAGAACUCCCUCAAUUUGUUUAGGAUUUUAAUUGUUAUUGAAUUGACAGAUUGAAAUCAAAUAAAUGAUAUCCUCCUUGUCAAUCAAAUUAAAGUUUUCACAGUGUUGUAAAAGAAAUGUCAACUCAUUAUACACAGUUAGGAUUUAAUUAAAAGGGAAAAAAUGGAGUAAAAUAUGUAGUGUUGUGUACCAUUGUAUGUUGUACAUUUUGUACAAGUAAAUUAUAAAUAAUGUCCAAUUUGUAAAGGCUUUGUUACAUAGCCUGGAUGCACCUCAAUUUAAUGGAGUAGGUAUUUUUAAGAAAUGAUUUGACCAUCCUUUCAUUUAAUUUCUUCACAUUUUAUUAUGUAAAAGUAUCAAUCUGUUAUAUUGGAAGCACUUAAAUCUGCUGAUUGUCUUAAAAUAAAUAAUUCGGCUGGCAAAGAUCUGACCAAUGAAACACUUGUACACAAAACAUCUUUUUCAUGUACAUUGUGAACACAUCCCUUUUAUGGUAUUAAGUAUCAAACAAGUUUUUAGGUAAAUUCAUGCAAUCAAAACAUUAUGGGACUGACUUGGUAUCUAAAUUUUUUCAGAGGCUUAUAAUUACCUUUUUUGAAACACAAAAUAUAAUGCAUAGAUCAAAACAUUUUAUACAUCCUAUCCUUGAACAUUUCAUGAAAUUAAUGGAUGUAAUAUAUGCUCAGAUAUUCAAGGCACAAAAUAUUGUUACACUUGUCAAGAAAAUUACAUAAUUUUGGCAAGGUGUAGGAAACUUAUAUCUGAUCUAAAAAUAGAAAGAUAUAAUUUUUUACAUCAUCUUUAAAAAUUUGGAGUUAUCUUCCUUUGUCUAGAAUUGCUUUUAAAUCAACUACAACCAAUGCAAUGAAUAAUUUUACUUUCCACUGAUAAAUUGAAGCAAUCUUUACUGCUCAGUGCUUACAAGCACUUUGAUUUUCAGUUAUGGCUAGUGUGGAGUUUGACAUUCAGUUUUAUUAUAUAUUUUCUGAAAAGGUUUGUUAAGUUUAUAUUCAUAAGUCAAUCUUGUAGAAAUAUCAAUGUGAAGACAAUCCAAUUUCUACAUUUUUUUUUCAAUAAUCAAUUACCUGGAAUAUUUGUUUAUCAGUCUUAUAACAGGAGAUUCGUUUAAUUGUUGUCAUAUUGAGGUAUAUUUUGUUGUGAAACAGAUUGAAGGUAUCUUUCAUAUAGAAUAUGACAAAAAGAUUGAUCUGAUGGAUGAAAGAAUGAUUGAUUUUUAUAGAUUGUUUGUCAAAUAGAUGUGAUCAGCUAAGAGCUAAGAGUGGAAAGUGAUCAGCUAAGAGUGAAAAGUUUAAAUCUUUUACCAUGAAUAGUUAUUUGAACAUUCCUUAUUUCUGAAUGAAUGUGUAACAUGGAAAAGUUAUGAAGGGCAAGAUUUGUACAUAGAAUAAUAUUUCAAAGAAAAGGUGCUUUUUGUUGUGAAAUAUAUUAAUGUUUGUAGAAAAAAAUAAUAAAUUGUCGUUCA